AACGAACGCUGGCGGCAGGCUUAACACAUGCAAGUCGAACGCCCCGCAAGGGGAGUGGCGCACGGGUGAGUAACGCGUGGGAAUAUGCCCUUCGGUUCGGAAUAACACAGGGAAACUUGUGCUAAUACCGGAUACGAUCUACGGAUGAAAGAUUUAUCGCCGAGGGAGUAGCCCGCGUAGGAUUAGCUAGUUGGUGAGGUAAUGGCUCACCAAAGGCGACGAUCCUUAGCUGGUCUGAGAGGAUGAUCAGCCACACUGGGACUGAGACACGGCCCAGACUCCUACGGGAGGCAGCAGUUGGGGGAAUAAUUGGGACAAAUGGGCGAAAGCCUGAUCCAGCCAUGCCGCGUGAGUGAUGAAGGCCUUA
rnacentral:rRNA from 1 species